GGCUGGUCCACAGGUGGUGAGUUAGCGCAACGGAUUGUUCACAGUCGGUUACAGAUCAAACUCCUCGGUCUACCCUGUCUCCCUUCUCUCUAUGCCAUGACUAAACAAAA
rnacentral:Y_RNA from 1 species